GAUGAACGCUGGCGGCGUGCCUAACACAUGCAAGUCGAACGAGAAGCUAACUUCUGAUUCCUUCGGGAUGAUGAGGUUAGCAGAAGGUGGCGAACGGGUGAGUAACGCGUGGGUAAUCUACCCUGUAAGUGGGGGAUAACCCUCCGAAAGGAGGGCUAAUACCGCAUAAUAUCUUUAUCCCAAAAGAGGUAAAGAUUAAAGAUGGCCUCUAUACUAUGCUAUCGCUUCAGGAUGAGCCUGCGUCCUAUUAGUUAGUUGGUGGGGUAAUGGCCUACCAAGACCACAAUGGGUAGCCGGUCUGAGAGGAUGUACGGCCACACUGGGACUGAGAUACGGUCCAGACUCCUACGGGAGGCAGCAGUGAGGAAUAUUGCGCAAUGGGCGAAAGCCUGACGCAGCGACGCCGCGUGGAGGAUGAAGGUUUUCGGAUUGUAAACUCCUGUUAAGUGGGAAGAAAGGCUUAUCCUUAAUACGGAUAAGAGAUGACGGUACCAUUAGAGAAAGCACCGGCUAACUUCGUGCCAGCAGCCGCGGUAAUACGAGGGGUGCAAGCGUUAUUCGGAAUCAUUGGGCGUAAAGGGUACGCAGGCGGCAUGUUAAGUCAACCGUUAAAUCUUUCGGCCUAACCGGAAGCUCGCGGUAGAUACUGGCGUGCUAGAGGAUGAGAGAGAGAAGUGGAAUUCUCGGAGUAGCGGUAAAAUGCGUGGAUCUCGAGAGGAACACCAAUGGCGAAGGCAGCUUCUUGGCUCAUUCCUGACGCUCAGGUACGAAAGCGUGGGGAGCAAACAGGAUUAGAUACCCUGGUAGUCCACGCCGUAAACGAUGAUCGCUAGACGUCAGUUUCGUUUUACGAGAUUGGUGUCGUAGCUAACGCGUUAAGUGAUCCGCCUGGGGACUACGGUCGCAAGAUUAAAACUCAAAGGAAUUGACGGGGGUCCGCACAAGCGGUGAAACAUGUGGUUUAAUUCGACACUACGCGAGGAACCUUACCUAGGUUUGACAUGCACUCGCCAGCCGUAGAGACACGGUUUUUCGGGCUUCGGUUCGAACGGGUGCACAGGUGCUGCAUGGCUGUCGUCAGCUCGUGUCGUGAGAUGUUGGGUUAAGUCCUUUAACGAGCGCAACUCCUACCAUUAGUUGCAACUUCUAGUAAGGCACUCUAAUGGAACUGCCUGGGAAACCAGGAGGAAGGUGGGAAUGACGUCAAGUCCUCAUGGCCCUUAUGCCUAGGGCUACACGCGUGUUACAAUGGCCAGUACAAUGGGUUGCCAACCUGCAAAGGUGAGCUAAUCCCAAAAAACUGGUCUAAGUUCGGAUUGGGGUCUGCAACUCGACCCCAUGAAGUUGAAAUCGCUAGUAAUCGCGUAUCAGCAAUGACGCGGUGAAUACGUUCUCGGGCCUUGUACACACCGCCCGUCACACCACGAAAGCUGU
rnacentral:rRNA from 1 species